AGAGCGAACGCUGGCGGCAGGCCUAACACAUGCAAGUCGAGCGGCCGUAGCAAUACGGCAGCGGCAGACGGGAGAGUAACACGUGGGAACGCGCCCUUCGGUUCGGAAUAACUCAGGGAAACUUGAGCUAAUACCGGAUACGCCCUUACGGGGAAAGAUUUAUUGCCGAAGGAACGGCCCGCGUCCGAUUAGCUAGUUGGUGAGGUAAUGGCUCACCAAGGCGACGAUCGGUAGCUGGUCUGAGAGGAUGACCAGCCUCACUGGGACUGAGACACGGCCCAGACUCCUACGGGAGGCAGCAGUGGGGAAUAUUGGACAAUGGGCGCAAGCCUGAUCCAGCCAUGCCGCGUGGAUGAUGAAGGCCUUAGGGUUGUAAAGUCCUUUUAACGGGGAAGAUAAUGACGGUACCCGUAGAAUAAGCCCGGCUAACUUCGUGCCAGCAGCCGC
rnacentral:rRNA from 1 species